rnacentral:lncRNA from 1 species
AUUGGCUGUACCAAGAAAGGAAUCAUAACAUUUCAAUGGAAGAAAGUGUUAUCUUAAGGAGGUAGACCUAGGUUAAGGGAAAUAACUCUUAAAAUCAUCAGUACGUUUGUGUCAGCCAUUUUCAUAAAUAUGUUCUAAGCUUCUUGGAUACAUAGAUUAUUUCCAAUCUGUUUCAGGUAAAUGCUUAAAAUUCAUUGACGAAACUUGACUUUUACAAACGCAUAACUGAUUUAAAGAGUUAUCUCCCUGAACCAAGGUCUACCCCCUUAAUAUAAGAUA